rnacentral:rRNA from 1 species
GAUGAACGCUGGCGGCGUGCCUAAUACAUGCAAGUCGAGCGAACAGAUGAGAAGCUUGCUUCUCUGAUGUUAGCAGCGGACGGGUGAGUAACACGUGGGUAACCUACCUAUAAGACUGGGAUAACUCCGGGAAACCGGGGCUAAUACCGGAUAAUAUUUUGCACCGCAUGGUUGAAUAGUGAAAGACGGUUUCGGCUGUCACUUAUAGAUGGACCCGCGCCGUAUUAGCUAGUUGGUAAGGUAACGGCUUACCAAGGCGACGAUACGUAGACGACCUGGGAGGGUGAACGGCCACACUGGAGCUGGUACACGGUCCAGACUCCUACUGGAGGCAGCAGUAGGGAAUCUUCCGCAAUGGGCGAAAGCCUGACAGAGCAACGCCGCGUGAGUGAUGAAGGUCAUCGGAUCGUAAAACUCUGUUAUUAGGGAAGAACAAAUUUGUUAGUAACUGAACAAGUCUUGACGGUACCUAACCAGAAAGCCACGGCUAACUACGUGCCAGCCGCCGCGGUAA